rnacentral:rRNA from 1 species
GAUGAACGCUAGCGGCAGGCCUAAUACAUGCAAGUCGAACGAUAGUGAGAAGCUUGCUUCUCACGAAAGUGGCGCACGGAUGCGUAACGCGUAUGCAACCUACCUUAAUCAGGGGGAUAGCCCGAAGAAAUUCGGAUUAACACCGCAUAAAAUCACAGUAUAGCAUUAUACAAUGAUCAAAUAUUUAUAGGAUUAAGAUGGGCAUGCGUGACAUUAGUUAGUUGGCGGGGUAACGGCCCACCAAGACCACGAUGUCUAGGGGAUCUGAGAGGAUGACCCCCCGGAAUGGUACUGAGACACGGACCAGACUCCUACGGGAGGCAGCAGUAAGGAAUAUUGGUCAAUGGAGGCAACUCUGAACCAGCCAUGCCGCGUGCAGGAAGACAGCCCUCUGGAUCGUAAACUGCUUUUAUUCGGGAAUAAACCUAUCUACGUGUAGAUAGCUGAAUGUACCGAAGGAAUAAGGAUCGGCUAACUCCGUGCCAGCAGCCGCAGUAA